GAGUGACCACCGAGUGACCACUGAGUGACCACAGGGUGACCACUGAGUGACCACAGAGUGACCACAGAGUGACCACAGAGUGACCAAUGAGUGACCACUGAGUGACCACUGAGUGACCACAGAGUGACCACUGAGUGACCAAUGAGUGACCACUGAGUGACCACAGAGUGACCACUGAGUGACCACAGGGUGACCACUGAGUGACCACUGAGUGACCACAGGGUGACCACAGGGUGACCACAGAGUGACCACAGAGUGACCACAGAGUGACCACAGGGUGACGACAGAGUGACCACAGAGUGACCACUGAGUGACCACUGAGUGACCACUGAGUGACCACAGGGUGACCAAUGAGUGACCACAGGGUGACCACAGGGUGACCACAGAGUGACCACAGAGUGACCACAGGGUGACCACAGGGUGACCACUGAGUGACCACAGAGUGACCACUGAGUGACCACAGAGUGACCACAGAGUGACCACAGAGUGGCCACUGAGUGACCACCGAGUGACCACUGAGUGACCACUGAGUGACCACAGGGUGACCACUGAGUGACCACUGAGUGACCACUGAGUGACCAAUGAGUGACCAAUGAGUGACCACAGAGUGAGCACAGGGUGACCACUGAGUGACCACUGAGUGACCACAGGGUGACCACUGAGUGACCACUGAGUGACCACUGAGUGACCAAUGAGUGACCACAGGGUGACCACAGGAUGGUCAGGGGUCAGCAGGAGGUCAGGGGUCAGCAGAAGGUCCAUGGAUGGUCAGCAGGAGGGCCAUGGAUGGUCAGCAGGUGGUCAGCAGUGUCCAGCAGAUGUCCAUGGAUGUCCAGCAGGUGGUCAGUGGUGUCCAUGGUGGUCAGUGAUGGUCAGUGAUGGUCAGUGGUGUCCAUGGAUGGUCAGUGAUGGUCAGUGGUGUCCAUGGAUGGUCGGUGAUGGUCAGUGGUGUCCAUCUCUCAGUAGGCGUGGUUGGA
rnacentral:lncRNA from 1 species